AGCUAUGCAAAAGGAUCAGGGUGGCAAUCGUCAGUUCUUGAGCUUCGAACAGGCAGAAAGCUUUGCAACAAUAUCCGUAUGGCGAUGGUCAGUUCUUGAGCUUCGAACAAGCAGAAAGCUAUGCAACAAGAUCCCGGUGGCUAUGGUCAGUUCUUGAGCUUCGAACUGGCAGAAAGCUAUAGAACAAGAUCAGGGUGGCAAUAGUCAGUUCUUGAGCUUCGAACGGGCAGAAAGGAGGAGGCCAGCUGAGACACUAUAGUUGUGAUGAUGAAAGUUGGGCAAUGAUGAAUACAAGCAAAAGGCUGUUCAAAGAAUUUCCAACUACAACCCUGCAGACCGGGAGCCAAAUGAACAGGACCUCGACCAGCUUCAAUAACAUCUGAACAUGUUUCUAUAAGGAAGAGUUGACAAGGUACCUGAACAUUACAAUGACUCUUGCCAUCUUGAAAGAACACUCCGCACGCGCACACACGCGAACGGUUUUUUUUGCUUGUUGGCCCGCACACUGCUUGGCGUUUAGAAUAUACAUAUGCCUUGUUACUGUGCAGAUACAUUGUGUCUGGUAUAGCGAAAUAUGACCAGCACUUGAUUGUAUUGGGAUGAGUGGCCUUUUGGAUUAUAAUGGAACUUGGACUUCACUCCUAUGAAUCAGAUACUGCCAGGCUGCCAAGGAUGUGCACACACAACUGCUUUG